CCCCGCGGGGCGCUGAGGGUCCGGCCGGGCCGUGGGACCUGUGUCCUCUGAGGAGUGCCGAGAACCAAGCCGAGUGGCGGGGGGCGUCUGUGCUGCCCUCAGCUGGAAGCGCCGCCACGUCGUUGAGGAGUCCCAGGGAGCCGUGUCCCGUGUUUGCCAUGGAGGCCGACCUGCCCUUCAGCGAGGCCUCCGCCGCGAGCACGUGUGGCCACUGGCAGGCCCUGCCCGGAGACCCCUUCGACGAGGGGCCGGGCACGAGGGCUUGGAGGACGGCGUCCUGAUGCUGGGGAACUCUCUGGACUAGCCGUAGGCAGGCCCCUGGAAGGCGGCCCGGCGCGCACGGACCUCCGGGGGGCCCCGGGGCCCGCUAGUGACCGACCGCCGCGACCCUCGACGCCGCCCAAACACGCGGCGCGGCGCCUGUCGGGUUCCGGGGCCUGGUCCGCCCCGGCGCACUGUUCGGCGUGAACGCCCCGUGUCCUGCCCCGGGAUACUGAUUUCGAGAUUUCAGAGGCCGCAGAGAUGCCUUCACAGCAGUUCCAACAUUGAAAUUCAAGAGAUCUCAUGUUUCCUUUCAAGUCCCUGUAUAUAAUAGUUCCUGGCAUAAGGAAGUACAUUCACUCCAGAUGAGUCAACAUCUGUACAUAAAGGAUAGCGACCAUUCAGCAAGGAUGCUGCUGUUACCUAUGGUGAAAUACUGAAAAUGUCAGCAGGACUUAACACAGAGGCACACAGUGAGAGAGAGAGAGAGAGAGAGGCAGAGACACAGGCAGAGGGAGAAGCAGGCUCCAUGCACCGGGAGCCCGACGUGGGAAUCGAUCCCGGGUCUCCAGGAUUGCGCCCUGGGCCAAAGGCAGGCGCCAAACCACUGAGCCACCCAGGGAUCCCCCAUCAUUUAUAUCUUAUAUCACUCCUGUGAAACUGAAAGGGCUAGCAUUAAUACCUUUAAUUUACAUAUAAGAAAACUUAGAAUUACAGGAGCUAUUCGGUAGUAGUAUUGGGUUUCAAGAUAUCUUUUUUCCUCAUUCCAUACAAUCUUAUUUAUAGAAUAUUAUACAACUUUACAUACCUUAUAUCACUUUUCUAUUUAUCAAAUCUGAGCCCCUUACUUGAGUAACUCUGGCAACUGCAUUCUGAUUUCUGGAACUUUGAAGAAGGGAGCCAAUUUUUUUUUUAAGAUUUUAUUUAUUUGACACAUAGAGAGAGAUAGAACAACACAGCACAAGCAGGAGGAAUGGCAGAGGGAGAAGGAGAGGGGUAAAAGGACUCCCUACUGAGCAGGUAGCCCAACAAGGGGCUCCAUCCCAGGACUCUGGGGUCAGCACAUGAGCCAAAGAUAGGUGCUUAACUGAUUGAGCCACCCAGGUGCCCCAAGGGAAGUCAAUUUUAAGAUAGAAAUGUGAGAAUAAAGGUAUAAAUGAGACAGGCCAGAUUACAGAAUGAAAUAAGAGAACAUUUUCAUUGUGGAAAUAUGUAAUAAAUGAGGGAGGUGCUGCAAAAGUAAACUUGAACCAUUUAGUACCAUAUAGUUUGCUUUUCUUUCUUGAUAUUGGACACAAAACCUUGCCCUAGUAGCUAAUUCUCUUUAUUUUAUUUUUAUAUUUUUAGCCUCUCAGUCAGCAGAUACUGAACUUUUCCACUCCAAAACACUCAAACCGUUUACUUACAUGCUCUUCCCCAAAUUAUUUAAAAUCAACCUCCCCCACUCCCUUAUCUCCUCAUACGUGCCCUUCUAACUGAGUAAUGAGACACUGUCCCAAAGCCUUCUUUGAAGGCUUUCUUUUCCUCUUUCCUGAUGAGGAAGCAUCCCACAUUCAAGUAUCCAAUUUUCCUUCUAUCAGAGAGCAUUUUUCAGAGUGGUUUCAAGUAGGAUACUGAGCAUCACUGACUUGCAAGGAAUUAUGGUGGCUCUCCACUAGUAAAAGAGAGGUAGAAUUGCCCUACAGGGUUUGGAUAGGGCACUAGAAAGUGGUCUAAUGGGAUAAUGAUUUAGUGAUAGCUCUAAUUAUAGCACAGCUGACCCCAGCAAAUGAGUAUUGAACACAAAGCCAUUUAGCAGGAAGUUGCAGGCUUCUCUGAUGGCAGAAAUAAAAGCUACACAUCACUGUAUUUGUUAGUAAUAGGUCUUUAUUCUCCUGACUCAGAGUCUUUUCCUUUUCUCUGAAUGUGAGUGUAGGAAGUACCACUAGUCCAAAUUUGCUAUUAUUAUUAUUAUUACUAUUAUUAUUAUUGAAAAUUUCCAAAAGUGAAAAGUGGCCAGCUUUAAAGAUUCCAUAACAUUAGUGAGCACUGUGAUUGAACUGAUUAUUAAAUCAGUUGAAAAGGAAAACUAAACAGAAAAUCAUUUUUGGAUCUUUGAAUGAAAUAAAAACAAGACUAUUAUCAUUAUUGCUAUGGUUAUUUUAGAAUCUUAGAGGUCCUAGAGUUAAUUUUAUUCAGAAAUUAAGGUUACCUGAUUUUUGUUUCUCUGUAAUUUCAAUUAUCAUCUACAUUUCUAUAAGGUGACUAUACUGUAAUUCUUUUAAGAAUAUUACAAAGCAUCAUCAAGACCUGAGAAAUCAGGAGGAUAUUUUUUUCCCUAUUAUAUUGUUUAAACCAGUAUAAUGGACUAGCAUGAAGAUCUAAAAUGUAACUUAAGAUAUUUGUGGACCUCAAAGAAUGAAAUUUUACAUGUUAGGUGUAUUAACAUUCUAAAGAAGAAUAUGUUCCUUAGCAUGUAGGUUUGGUCAGAUAUAUAAGCACUGAACAAAAGAAUUCUCGAGAUGAAAUUUCAAAAGUUGUUAUUCCCUAUUCUAACAUCAUCAAAGAAAGAAAACUUCAAAAACAGUCUUCCAAUGUUUGUUUGUAAUUCACAAGGCUCUUCUUGUGGAAUGGUUGUAACUGACCAUCAUAGUUUCAUUCAACCAAAUAUUUUAAUUUCCAUAAAACUCAUAUUCUCAGCUCGUUUUCACUAAAACCUGCUAAUGGUUUGGCUUCCCCACUAGAUCUCCUUUAAGUAGAAGAUAUUAUGGUUAAUUUUUUAAAAGAUUUUAUUUAUUUGAAAGAGAGAACAUGAGUUGGGAGUGGGGCAGAUGGUAAGAAAGAAGCAGACUCCCCAAUGAACAGGGAGCCCAACGUUGGGUUCAAUCCCAAGACCCCAGGAUCAUAAUCUGAGCUGAAGGCAGCCGCUUAACUGACUCAGCUACCCACAUGCUCCUGGAUAAUUUUUUAUGAUGGUUACAUUUCUACUCUUCUUCUUCUCCUUUUUUUUUUUUUUCUACUCUUCUUAUAGUUACAUCAGUCAUUGGAUUUAGGGUCCACCCUCAUCCAGUAUGCCCUCAUCUUAACUUAAGUACAUAUGCAAAGACCCUAUUUCCAAAUAAGGUCACAUUCUGAGGUCUCAGGGGGACAUGGAUUUGGAGAAAUACAAUUUAAUGAAUUAUCUCUUCACUCAGAGAUGGCCACAGAGAUAGCCAGAAUUAUUUACUAUAAUUUAUUUCCACAACAAAGAGUAGAGCAAAAAAGAGAAAGAUAUAGAAAUACCUGUGGCAUGUACAAUAUUACAAGUAUCCCUCCUAAUUAGUUACAGGAUACAGAUGUUAGAAUUUAUGAUAGGUCAAGCUGACCUAAAUGACAGGUCUGAAUUGCUUAGCUGGACAGCUAGACUCUACUCUGACUUAAUUUAGGGGACAUACUGAACUAAUUCCACUCUAGACUGAAUGUUUGCUAAUUCAGUAAAACAGAAUUUGUUAAAAAGGCAAUAAUGCAUAAAUAAUUGAACCAACAGUGAUAGAAAAUGAACAAUACAAUGUUUACAAACACAUUGCCCCAAAAUGACAAGCUCAAACUAACCAACAAAAAUGUAUCUCACAAACAUGGCUCUGAAUAGAACAAGAUUAGUGAUUCAAAGUCCAAAGAAUGAAAAGUAAAUCAUUUAAUUUAUUUAAGAGAGAUAAUCUGGGUGGCUGACACAGGUAAAAUUUCUCUGAUGACACCCAAAAGUUGAUAUUUUACAAUCUAUAAAGAUGCCUCUCAACAUUUUACUUCAAACAAGUAUGAAAUGAGCUUCAUUGCAUGGUUUCUUAUAAUAACCUAACAUAAUAAAGAUCAAAUAGUGUCUGUGUUAGAUACAUAAGAAUUUUAUCACCGUAAGUAAAUAUACAAACUUCUUUCAGGCUCAUUUUUCGCCUCAGUAAUUGGGCCUCAUAAAUUUGCUUUGAAUAUCUAAUAAGGAGAUACUUAAACAUAGUAUGGAGUUUGGCCUGUGGUUAUCAUUAAAUGGUAACCAUUUCAUUAGAACAAAAUCAGCAUUUAUUAACUUAUUAUAAAAUGUGUAUACUCCCAGUGUCCAGAAUUAUUAUUAUCUGUCUGUGGAAGUAUUUUUAUGGACUUAGUAACUUGGGAUCUAAUUAAUAAACAGAGUAUUUCAAGAUAUAUAGAAGAAGGAUGAUAUUGAAAAGUAUUUCAAAUGAGCCCUAAUUAAGUCUGGUGAACCUUUUUUGCCAAACAACCAAACAGACUUUUUUGCAGCAAUACAAAGUUUGAAUAUACCAGAUGCCUUCUCUUUUUAUCCUUACCAUGUUAGAUUAAUAUUAGAAAACUCUAGUUCUUUGGAUUACUAUCGAGUUUCAAGAAAACCACUAAUCUACUAAUGUGCUAUACCUUCAAAUAGACUAUAAGUGAUUACACUUUAUUUUACAUUUAUUCUUGUUUUAGUUUCCUAAGACAGCUUUAUUGUAUAUAUAGGGCUAUCACAAAAUGUUCUUAGGUUCUCAUUUAAAAAUAAUUCAUUGGGACACCGAAGUGACUCAGUGGUUGAGUGUCUGCCUUUGGCU